rnacentral:rRNA from 1 species
GACGAGCGCUGGCGGCGUGCUUAACACAUGCAAGUCGAACGGAAAGGCCCUGCUUUUGUGGGGUGCUCGAGUGGCGAACGGGUGAGUAACACGUGAGUAACCUGCCCUUGAAUUUGGGAUAAAUUCAGGAAGCUGGGGCUAAUACCGGAUAGGAGCUCCUGCUGCAUGGUGGGGGUUGGAAAGUUUCGGCGGUUGGGGAUGGACUCGCGGCUUAUCAGCUUGUUGGUGGGGUAGUGGCUUACCAAGGCUUUGACGGGUAGCCGGCCUGAGAGGGUGACCGGCCACAUGGGGACUGCGAUACGGCCCAGACUCCUACGGGAGGCAGCAGUGGGGAAUAUUGCACAAUGGGCGGAAGCCUGAUGCAGCAACGCCGCGUGCGGGAUGACGGCCUUCGGGUUGUAAACCGCUUUCGCCUGUGACGAAGCGUGAGUGACGGUAAUGGGUAAAGAAGCACCGGCUAACUACGUG